GGGGGUAUAGAUCAGUGGUAGAUCGCUCGCUUUGCAUCAUUAAGUACUUGCGAGAGGUCCAGGGUUCAAGCCCCUGUGUCUCCA
rnacentral:tRNA from 2 species